rnacentral:misc_RNA from 1 species
UCCGUUUUGUCAACGGCAGUCUCUCUAGAGUGCCCAACUUAAUGCUGGCAACUAAAGAUAAGGGUUGCGCUCGUUGCGGGACUUAACCCAACAUCUCACGACACGAGCUGACGACAGCCAUGCAGCACCUGUGUAGGCUGGUAUUGCUACCUCGUCCCGAUUUCACGGUUCUACUACCUACAUGUCAAGGCCAGGUAAGGUUCUUCGCGUUGCAUCGAAUUAAGCCACAUACUCCACCGCUUGUGCAGGCCCCCGUCAAUUUCUUUGAGUUUUAAUCUUGCGACCGUACUUCCCAGGCGGCACAUUUAACGCGUUAGCUUCGCCACGAACGGGGUCGAUUCCGCUCACAGCAAAUGUGCACCGUUUACGGCUAGGACUAC